rnacentral:miRNA from 1 species
CUAUAUGCAGUGGACCAGGCAAGGGCUCUCCUGAAAGGACAGUAGAGCCCUUGCCAUCCUGGUCCACUGCAUAUAG